ACAGCCCCAGAUCCCGCCCCCAAACGUCCUCCUCCUCCUCCAAUCCGGCUUCUGCUCCGGAAAUGGGGGGGUGAGCCCCCUCCCAACCUGCCUGCUUCUCCCGGAAGUGGAGCUUCCUCUUCGGAUUGCUGCUCUGCUCCACAGCUCUAGGGGGGGCGCUAGGAUGUUGCAGGAAAGGAGAAUCGGGAGCGAGGAGAAACAGGCAAUAUCAGAGUGACUGACAAGCUGAGAUACAACCCAUCAGCAUCCGAUGACAGCGACUGCAUGAAUCUUCCCAGUCAAAGGACCCCUUUUCAGGAUAAACAGCGCCUGGGGCUGGAGGCUCUACACACUGGGUGUGCCUGUGCAGGCCAAAGACUGCCAGUAUUAGCACAGGGCUUGACUUCAGGUGCAGCAGAAUUCCCCAGCCCCCCAAGGAUUUGAGACCCAUCAGCUUUCCUCACCUGGUUUAGGCAGCCGGUUGAAGCCGUUGCUUGAACACCUGUUGCAUGCUGACAGCUUCUGGAAGCCACAGGAUUUGCUUUUUGCCCACUCUGAAAAAGGUGAUGGAGAAGACAGAAUUGCUGGGGAUAGGACACCUUUCGUUUAAUUAGGAAUAGCCAUUAAAAUGUGUUAAAUGUGGAAUA